CCCUGACAGUCGCAUCCCGCGGCUGACACUAGCCACGACAGGAGAUCUUCAUG
ncrna:unclassified sequences Mu-gpT-DE RNA